UGUAGCUCAGUGGUAAAGCACUUGCCCCACAUGCAUGAAGCACUGAGUUCGAUCCUCAGCA
rnacentral:tRNA from 1 species